ACAUGUAAGUGAGGCGGAUCAAAGUGGCCGGGUAUUCUGAAGCUUAGUAAUCGCGCUACUAGCAGCAAAAUAGGCAAAAUCGAGGAGAAGAGGAAAAGAGUGAAAGCAUGCAGCAGAUUGGAUGGGUGUGAGAGUGAACUUCAUGGCUAAAUGUUCGAGAGAGAGCAUCAUUUUCCGUCGAAAUCGGCUGAGGUAGACUGUACUACGACGGAAACAAAAGAUUUAUCACAGGAUGGUAGGAAAAAAGUACGCUCUAAAGUAUAUACUUGGCUUGAUACUGUUUGCAAUGCUACUGUGGCAACUUCGGACAAAUCCUUUUCUCUCGAAUAAAAAUUCCACCUCCAUGACACCAGUUGCUGUAGGGAGAACGAAAACGGAUGACAUGAAGGAACCUGUUAAGAAUAGUUCAAAGCUAAAGAUACAAGCUGCGAAUAUCACAACACCGCACGGCAUAAAUGUAACAACUAAAGGAUCCGAGACAAAGCGUUGGCUUAUAGUAUAUUGGUCAAAGUUUUUUGGAAGAAGGCUCGAUCUGCACGAGACAUUCGAAAAAGGCGACUGCCCAGUACCGUGUGAGUGGACUAGUGAUCAAUCCAGAGCAAAAGAGGCAGAUGCUUUUUUAGUCCAUGCCAGGGACCCACUACCAGACCCACCAAUAAAAUCGGUGCCUUGGAUUCUGCAGACUCGAGAAAAUCCAAUUCACACACCGGUAUUGAACGACGCCAGCUUCAUGUCGAAAUUUAGCUACUUGAAAAGUUAUCGGCUGGACUCAGACUUUCCAGAUCCCUCUGUCUUGCUGCCUGGUGUAGCUCCCCCUGUUCCUUUUAAGAAUAAGACUGGGCUCAUCAUGGCAGCUUUCUCAAAUUGUGAAGUUGUUCGAACCGAGUACAUGAGGCAGCUGAUGAAGUUUGUAAAGGUUGAUUCCUUCGGCGCCUGUCUAAGGAAUAAUAAUGGUCUAGUGGGUAGGUACGGCAAAAACAAACAGGGCACUGAUUUCAGAGAUGCUAAAUCCAUGCUGGCCAGACAGUACAAGUUCAACCUGGUGUUCUUCAACCAAGACUGUAAUUAUUUUGUGGAUGCUCAACUACACCACGCAAUGGAUGCAGGCUCGGUUCCUGUUGUCAUGGCUACAGAUAAGCUGGAUGAGUUUCUACCUGGGCCCUAUCUUAACCGUUCAGUGAUAAAAGUGCGUGAUUUCAAGAGCCCACAACUGUUGGCUGAAUACCUCAAGUAUCUUAGCAACAACGAAACCGAGUACAAUAAAUAUCUGGAGUGGAAGUGGAAAGGAUAUGGCAACAUCAGUGGAACUGCUAUCGGAAAUUAUUGGAUGCCAAAGUAUCCGUUGUAUUGUCAAGUUUGUGUUGCAGUUUCGAAAGGGAAAGGACACAAAGAGGGUCUGAAACCAUUCAAUUGCAAACCAAGGAAAUUUGAAGACUGGGGAAUUACAAAAGGAGCCUAACUUAAGUCAACUAUUGUCAGUUGUAGAGGAAACUGUUAGCCUGUGGAAACCGACGUUAAUUAGAAAUACCGGUAAAAUAUUGCUUAUAAAGAAGUAUUAAUUUGGGAGAACUUACGACACGAGCAAUGGAAAUGCUUUUGAUGUUAUAGAGGUGCUGACGAUUAAGAAUAAGGAAAAUGAACACGACCUUCAAACUGAAGUUGGUCACUGUGUUGCACAAGUGUGUAGCUCAAAACAAAAGUGUAAACAACAAAAUAUACAAAUGGGAAGCUGCAUUAAAUUAGAAGUAGACCCAACAUUCCGUUUGUCAGAUGUGAUGAAUGUAGGAUGAGGUUGUCGGCCAGAAAAAAAGAGUGAUCACAAAUCCAAAUUCAUGCACUAAAGCAAGUGGAGAAUGGAGGGUAGUUUGUGACGAGCGGUGGGCAGAGUUUUUCGGGUUUGGAUGGCCUUAUGUGAAGAAUUUCCUCGGUGAGUCUUUCUGUAGCAGAUAACCUUGAGGAGGUUUGAAAGUUGGCGAAGAGAAAAGUUGGACAAAUUGAUAAAGUAAUCUUUAAGCAGCACCUUGUGCAAGUUUCCUAAAGACAACGAACCAGAAGCUUGGUUAACGUAAAUCCUAGAUUAAAACAGUGAGUUAGUGUUUCUCCUGAUCAACAAUCCCGUAAAUAACUGACUGGAUCAGCUGAGAGACCCAUUCAAAGGUCCACUGUGAAUUCUCUCACUUUUACCACAGCACAAUUGAACGUUGUUCUUGUUAUACGGCUCGACUAACUGAAUCUCCCACACUACGAAGAUAAACCCUUUAAAUCCCACAGGUGACCAAGGCAGAAUUUCUCCUUACAUUAUAAUCAGUUGAUCCAAUACCAGAUUCUUCUAACUAACUUUAUAAGAAUUGCAUGGCAGACACUAAGGAGAGAUACUAGUGAGAUCUUAGGAGUGAAAGAGUUAAAUUGAAAAGGUUACACGAACCUCUUUUGAAGAGGUGCAUUCCUGUAGAGUCCGUAGCCUAUCAAUGAGACCUGCUGUGGUUCACUCUUGGAAGUAUUUCCCCACAUACAACUUUGUUACCCUGGAUUUGCUCAACAUUUGCUUCAUGAGUACAAUAAUCCCAUUCAAGAACAAGCAAGGUUUGAUUUUUGUCAUAAAUAUUUAAUAAUGUUGAUUUUAAUUGUCACUU